UACGUAGGGUGCGAGCGUUGUCCGGAAUUAUUGGGCGUAAAGAGCUCGUAGGCGGUCUGUCGCGUCGAUCGUGAAAACUUGGGGCUUAACCCUGAGCUUGCGGUCGAUACGGGCAUGACUGGAGUUCGGCAGGGGAGACUGGAAUUCCUGGUGUAGCGGUGAAAUUCGUAGAUAUCGAGAGGAACACCGGUGGCGAAGGCGGCCUUCUGGACAGUGACUGACGCUGAGACGCGAAAGCGUGGGGAGCAAACAGG
rnacentral:rRNA from 1 species